GAUGAACGCUAGCGACAGGCUUAACACAUGCAAGUCGAGGGACCGGCGCACGGGUGCGUAACGCGUAUGCAACUUGCCUCACAGAGGGGGAUAACCCGCCGAAAGACGGACUAAUACCGCGUACUGUGAGAUAGGCAUGCGUCCCAUUAGCUGUUUGGUGAGGUAUCGGCUCACCAAGGCAACGAUGGGUAGGGGAACUGAGAGGUUGAACCCCCACACUGGUGCUGAGACACGGACCAGACUCCGACGGGAGGCAGCAGUGAGGAAUAUUGGUCAAUGAGCGAGAGCCUGAACCAGCCAAGUCGCGUGAAGGAUGACUGUCUCUGGAUUGUAAACUUCUUUUGUAGGGGAAUAUGUACCCUACGAAUAAGCAUCGGCUAACUCCGUGCCAGCAGCCGCGGUAAUUC
rnacentral:rRNA from 1 species